GGGGGCGUAGCUCAGAUGGUAGAGCGCUCGCUUAGCAUGCGAGAGGUACCGGGAUCGAUACCCGGCGCCGGACCCG
rnacentral:tRNA from 13 species